rnacentral:tRNA from 1 species
AAAGGAAUUUGUAUACCAAGCGAUGACUAUAACUUAUUGAAAAUAAAAUAUUUUACUUCGGUCUUGAAAACCGGCGAAGGGCAACUUUUCGUGAGUUCGAAUCUCACCUCCUCUGCCA